GACCUGAUCCGGGCCCCUCUGGCGGUCCGCCGGCACAGCCGGCGCCUCCGCGAUGUCGGAUCACCGCG
rfam:Rhodospirillales bacterium 69-11 SCNpilot_cont_750_bf_scaffold_293, whole genome shotgun sequence.